rnacentral:rRNA from 1 species
GACGUAGGGCGCGAGCGUUGUCCGGAUUUAUUGGGCGUAAAGAGCUCGUAGGCGGCUUGUCGCGUCGUUCGUGAAAUCCUGGGGCUCAACCUCAGAAUUGCCUCCGAUACUGGCAGUCUCGAGUGCGGGGAGAGGUGAGUGGAAUUCCCAGUGUAGAGGUGAAAUCGUAGAUAUUGGGAAGGAACACCAGUGGCGAAGGCGGCUCACUGGCCCGUAACUGACGCUGAGGUGCGAAAGCGUGGGGAGCAAACAGG